rnacentral:tRNA from 1 species
GGAUUAUUAUAUUAUAGAAAAAGCUUCUAACUUAUUUCUAAAGUGGUGAAAAUCCAUUUAUAAUCCU